rnacentral:rRNA from 1 species
UACGUAGGUGGCAAGCGUUGUCCGGAUUUACUGGGCGUAAAGGGCGUGCAGGCGGUUUGUUAAGUCUAGGGUGAAAGCUCCCGGCUCAACUGGGAGAGGUCCUUGGAUACUGGCGAACUUGAGGGAUGCAGAGGAAAGUGGAAUUCCCGGUGUAGUGGUGAUAUGCGUAGAUAUCUGGAGGAACACCGGUGGCGAAGGCGGCAUCCUGGACCAAUAUUGACGCUGAGGAGCGAAAGCCAGGGGAGCAAACGGG